GAGGGUGUGUAUUUUCUCUGCUAUAAAAUUAAACAGACACUACAAAUAGCCAGCUAUCAUUUAACAAAUAUGGAGAACAUACAUGUAUAUAACAUACAACUCACUGCUGGAAGACAUUGUUCAACCAAAGGAUUACAUUUUCAUGAAUAAUAACUUUUUUAAACAUAAAAGGGAUGAUAUAUUUUCAUCUGUUCAUAACUAAUGCAUAAAU
rnacentral:lncRNA from 1 species